UUGAGUGCUUCGGCUGUUCCAAUCAGCCCCAGAUGAAAACGAAUGAUCUGGUUGGAAUGCUAUUGGAUAUAUAUGAUUAUAACAUCCUGAAGAUUGAUUCUGCACUUAGUUUGACCAGUUUCUUCGACCUGUAAUAUGUCUUUUGGAAGUUUUAGAAGUUUUCAUGCAAAGUUAUCCUGGACCAGAAGUCAUUUUUUGGGCAUGUGAGCUGAAAGUGGUAGCAAAUGCUGCUACUUGGACACUAGAAUUGAACAUUAUGAAACAAAACGAUUUAUUGUUGAACUAGGACUCCUUGCACUACAUUCUGAUGAAAGAUCAUCAAAGUGUUUGCUGCACAGAGACAAAAAUUCACCUCUGCUCCAUCACAGACUGGUCUUCCCUGGUUGCCUGACCCUGAUGGUACCCCUGUCACCAUCUGAUCCUGCUCAGAUGAGGCAUGCCAAAUAAUUACCUGGGUGUACAUUUAUAUAUUAUCCAAGAAUAGAAUCAAUGGUUCAAUAAUUGAAAUUACCAUUAUUCCCAGACCCCAGACUGUAGCCUGCCCAUCAACUCAAGAUGGAACUUGAUAUCAUUCACUAAUAUUGUUAAUAUACUGCAAAAUUCACCCGAGCUCCGUAGACUGGUCUUCCAAGGUUGUCUGACACUGUAGGGACACUUGUCACCAUCUGAUCCUGCUGAUCCGUUCCUAUCAGGAAUCAAGCAGAUGUAUCACUGGGAGAGCAUUGACAUCUCUCUCUCUUUUGGAUAAAAUUGGUACUGUACAGAACGUGGAAGAAGAGAAGCAGAAGAAAAACCAAGAUCAAGAAGGAGAGAGACAAGGGUUUGGAUGAGAGGAACAAUUACCAUGGGACAGUGACCCAACACACCUCCAGGCUGUGUAAGGGCUAUUUGACGAAGAAGGAGAGUGAUGGAGUACUGCGUCAGAUGACCUGCCCUCCACAACCAAAUGACCUCAACCCAAUUGAGAUGGUUUGGAAUGAGUUGGACUGCAGAGUUAAGGAAAAGCAGCUAACUGUCACGUGUGCUCCCUCUCCGGCCUCUUGGUCACCAGUCUGCUCGUCAUGUCGCACACCUGUUACCAUCAUAAUGCGUAAUUGCGCAUUACAACUCUCAUCUGGACUCCAUGUCUUUGAUUAUCUGCCCUUUAUAUGUCACUCCCUUUGGUUUAUUCCCGAGUCGUCAUUGUAUCUUUUUCUGUUCCAUGUCGGUGCACUGUUUGUUUAAUUUAUUUAUUCAAUAUAUUCACUCCCUGAACUUGCUUCCUGACCCUCAGCGUGCAUAGUUACACCAGCAAGUGCUCAGCAUCUGUGGGAACUCCUUCAAGACUGUCGGAAAAGCAUUCCCGGUGAAGCUGGUUGAGAGAAUGCCAAGAGUGUGCAAAGCUGUCAUCAAGGCAAA